GACUGGUCCAAAGGUAGUAAUUGUCUUAAUUGAUUCUCAGUCAGUUACAGACUGAACUCUUUGUUAUAUCUCUCUCCCUUUUCACUACUCCACUUGACUAGUCUAAA
rnacentral:Y_RNA from 1 species